rnacentral:sRNA from 1 species
CUACGUUUAAUUUUCCUGGAAAAGAAGAGUUGAAGCGCAUGUUUGAAGAAGCGGGUUUCAUAAAUGUAAGAGUACGUAGUUAUACAGGGGGCGUUGC